UUCUAUUUUAACGAAUUAGCCGGGACAAUGAGUUUGGAUUAAAUAAAAAAAGAAUGUGGUCCUUACCAAGGGUUUGGAGGAUGGGAGGUUUGUCCCUAUCCAAAUUAUAUGGUUGUUGGAUCUUUUGGUUACUAUCUGGUUGUUGAAAUUCUGGCUCUAAACCUUCCUACCCACAUUAUCUCUUCCCACCAAAGGUUGUUGAAGAUGGUCCCACUAGUUUAGUAUAAUAUUUGGAGCUUUAGCAUAUUCUUUUUC
rnacentral:lncRNA from 1 species